rnacentral:tRNA from 1 species
GCAGUCGUGGCCGAGUGGUUAAGGCGAUGGAUUAGAAAUCCAUUGGGGUCUACCGUCUCCCCGCACAGGUUCGAAUCCUGUCGACUGCG